rnacentral:rRNA from 1 species
CAGUAGGGAAUCUUCCACAAUGGACGCAAGUCUGAUGGAGCAACGCCGCGUGAGUGAAGAAGAUCUUCGGAUCGUAAAACUCUGUUGUUAGAGAAGAACACGAGUGAGAGUAACUGUUCAUUCGAUGACGGUAUCUAACCAGCAAGUCACGGCUAACUACGUGCCAG